GAUGAACGCUGGCGGCGUGCCUAAUACAUGCAAGUCGAGCGAACAGAUGAGAAGCUUGCUUCUCUGAUGUUAGCGGCGGACGGGUGAGUAACACGUGGGUAACCUACCUAUAAGACUGGGAUAACUCCGGGAAACCGGGGCUAAUACCGGAUAAUAUUUUGAACCGCAUGGUUCAAUAGUGAAAGACGGUUUCGGCUGUCACUUAUAGAUGGACCCGCGCCGUAUUAGCUAGUUGGUAAGGUAACGGCUUACCAAGGCGACGAUACGUAGCCGACCUGAGAGGGUGAGAGGCCACACUGGAACUGAGACACGGUCCAGACUCCUACGGGAGGCAGCAGUAGGGAAUCUUCCGCAAUGGGCGAAAGCCUGACGGAGCAACGCCGCGUGAGUGAUGAAGGUCUUCGGAUCGUAAAACUCUGUUGUUAGGGAAGAACAAAUUUGUUAGUAACUGAACAAGUCUUGACGGUACCUAACCAGAAAGCCACGGCUAACUACGUGCCAGCAGCCGCCGUAA
rnacentral:rRNA from 1 species